CUCCCUCCCUCCGUUAUUGCUGAUUCUUCCCGCACCGGCCUCAGCCUGCCCUCUCUCUCUCUCUCUCUCUCUCUCCCCCUUCCUUCCUCGAGCAGCUCCACGCGCGACGCCAUCCCAAUGCUCUCCACGCCUCAUUGGACCCCAGGAAGCAAUCGCGCUGAUCGGGGCCGCCGCCUAGCGGUGCCGUGCGGGUUAGGGCGCGAGGCUGGCGCUAGCUCGAGCUCGCGGCUGCCGCAAGGUCGGUGGCUGGGUCCAGGCGCCUCCCGUCCGGUGGCCGCAGCCCUAAUCGCUGCCUAGGUGCUGGAAAGGUGAGGAGUAUGUCCUCGAUACGAUUUGGAUUUGUUAGAAGCCAGCUCCUCUGUUCUGGCACCAUUUGCUAGGAUUUUGUUAUGGUGUUUAUUAGGCAGCCAUGAAAAGUCUGAUAUGCUUCGGUAAUUAAGUCUAACCUUGUAUACUAAUUAAGUCUUAACCUUGCAUACAUGAAAUGGAAGUUUGAACAUUGUUAAUUACUUGUUUUGAUACACUUUGUAAGUUCUGUGUUUUACAUUAGUCCAGUUGGGUUAAGUUUUUACUUCGAAAGGACAGGCCCAAACUGAUGUAAAACAGUUUGAAUCUAUACCGUCUUUACAUUAGUCUAACCUUUGGAAGUUUGUAUUGAUAAUAAACACCGUAUGGAUUUUUUCUGCAAGAUAACCAUUAUCUUGAUAGCGUAUUGUUAUUU
rnacentral:lncRNA from 7 species